rnacentral:rRNA from 1 species
UACGGAGGAUGCAAGCGUUAUCCGGAAUGAUUGGGCGUAAAGCGUCCGUAGGUGGCGAUUCAAGUCUGCUGUUAAAGCGCAGGGCUUAACCCUGUAAAGGCGGUGGAAACUGGAGAGCUAGAGUGUGGUAGGGGUAGAGGGAAUUCCCGGUGUAGCGGUGAAAUGCGUAGAGAUCGGCAGGAACACCCAGGGGGAAACCAGUCGACUGGGCAUCUACUGACGCUGAGGUGCGAGAGCGUGGGGAGCGAACCGG